AAUGAACGCUGGCGGCAUGCCUAACACAUGCAAGUCGAACGACACCUUCGUGUCAAGUGGCUCACGCGUGCGUCGCGCGUCGGACGCGGCCUUUAGGUUCGGAAUUCUUCUGUGACAUGUGAGCUAAUGCCGGAUGACGUCUUCGAAUAACAGAUAUAACCUGUUUAGAGGAGCCCGCGUUGGAUUAGCAUGUUGGUAGGGAAAAGGCCUAUCACGGAGACGCUCCUUAGCUGGUCAGAGAGGAUGAGCAGCCACACUGGGACGGAGACACGGCCCAGACUCCUACGGGAAGGAGCAGUGGGGGAUAUUGGACAAUGGGGGAGAGCCUGAUCCAGCAAGGCCGCGAGAGUGAUGAAGGUGGUAGGGAUGUAAAGCACGUUUACCCGAGAUGAUAAUGACAGUACCGGAAGAAUAAGCACCGGCUAACUCCGUG
rnacentral:rRNA from 1 species